rnacentral:rRNA from 1 species
GACGAACGCUGGCGGCGUGCUUAACACAUGCAAGUCGAACGCUGAAGCUCAGCUUUUGUUGGGUGGAUGAGUGGCGAACGGGUGAGUAACACGUGAGUAACCUGCCUCCUUCUUUGGGAUAACGCCCGGAAACGGGUGCUAAUACUGGAUAUUCACUGGUCUUCGCAUGGGGGUUGGUGGAAAGGGUUUUUCUGGUGGGGGAUGGGCCCGCGGCCUAUCGGCUUGUUGGUGGGGUGAUGGCCUACCAAGGCUUUGACGGGUAGCCGGCCUGAGAGGGGGACCGGUCACAUUGGGACUGAGAUACGGCCCAGACUACGACGGGGGGCAGCAGUGGGGAAAAUUGCACAAUGGGCGCAAGACUGAUGCAGCGACGCCGCGUGAGGGAUGGAGGCCUUCGGGUUGUGAACCUCUUUCGCUCAUGGUCAAGCCGCAACAAUGGUUGUGGUGAGGGUAGUGGGUAAAGAAGCGCCGGCUAACUACGUG